UAUUUAAAAAGAUUAACACAAUCAAAUCUGUGUCAUAGGAAAAACAAGUUUGGCAGUGGGGGUGGGAGGGGCUAGAUUCAAAGGGAGAAAAGCUAGAGGCAGGGAGACGGACAGUUAUUACAUUUCUGCAUGGGUUCAGUUUGUCAGCGGGCUCAUGAGCUGCUAGCUCCAGAAGAUGCCUGAGACCCCACGUAGUCCAAUUUCUUCACCUACAGCUGAGAAAACUGAGGUGGGGAGAAGAGAAGACACAGCACGUUCUAGCAAAAAGUCAACAAAGACAUGUAGCAAAACCAGACCUUUGCUACCCAACCUCAAGGCACAUACGCCACAGUGGAGGAUCAAGGCAGAGACAUAGGCAGCAGAAGAAAGAUCCAGAACAUAACAGGACCUAAUUACUUCCAACAUGAGUGACAAAGACCAUAAACCCCAAAGGAAUUGCAGCGAGGGAAGCAUCAGCACAAGCUGAGAGACACGGAGUGGAAUUUGUACUGGAAAAUGCAUGUCCAGGAAUUUCAUCAUGGACUCCCAGGUUGAAGGUCACAUGACCUGAGCCUGCCCAGGAGAUCUAAGUGUGCAACCACAGUGGGGACCUACGUGCUGGGACGGAGGAGCAGGGACUGAGUUAAGAAGCAGACACUGGAUGGUAGGAUCCGGGAUCCAAUCAGAUGGAGCUCCGGCAUCAUCCCAUGGCAGGAAGCAGUCAAACCAUGCCUCCCGGCAUCACCUCAUUGCAAGAUCCAUUUAGACCACACCUCAUUACCCUGCGCUUAUAAAACACAAACCAAACCCCAGCUUGGGGAGACAGACUUGAGCAUUUCCUACUGUCUCUUUGCCAGUUGAGUCGCAAUAAAGCUUUUUCUUUUCUCAAAAGCUGGCACAAUGGUAUUGGCCUCUAUGCGCAUUGGGCGUCAAGCCACUGAUUGCUAGGUUACAAGUGUUCUUGAAUAUAAGAACAGCUGGAUUAAAUUUGUAUCUUAGGAAGAUUUCAUCAGUCAGCCUUCAGUAUGAUUUAGAGAGGAGAGUAGAGUUGGAAUGACAGUUUUGAAGCUCAUGUAAAAAGUCAGUGUAUCUAUCAUUGUGCAUUGAAUAAUCCCAUAACUUAGUGGCUUAAAACAAUAAUCAGUGACUUGUAUCUCUCAAAGUUUCUGUGGAUCAGGAAGUCAGGAAUGGCUUGGCAAGGGUAGUCCUGGCUCAGUCAUGAGCUGGAGGCUUCAAGCAAAUGUCAGCCCCUGACCGCAAGUAACUUACCCGCCUCGGCCUCCCAAAGUGCUGGGGUUACAGGCAUGAGCCACCACGCCCGGCCUCCCUGCUUUAUUAUCUCCAUUUUGUAACUGACAGACACUAAUCCAAAAACCUCAGAGCUGAGGAAGCACAACCUUCAGACCAACUCUCAGAAGCAGGGCGGAAUGAGAAAGACACAGAACAGUACAAUGUUUGAAUCAUGAUGAAGCCUUUCAACAGCAUCAUCCAGGCUCAUCCUUCACUAAACCUCCCUACCUGCCUCCUGCCCCAUCCCUUCAUUUAGAGCUGGGUUCCUGCUGUGGGCAAACAUCUACUAGGGCCUGUAUGGGAGUAAAGCAGACCUCAGUUAGGGAGGCCAGCAGCAGAAAAACUCGACUUUCACUUUGGGUUUCUGUUUGACUCUUGAAAGCCACAUCACCAGGCCUCUUAUGCAGCUAGGAGCUAUGAAGGUGCAGGGAAAGAGCAAGAUCAGGGAGGGCAGCUCACAGAAAGCCUGUGCCUACCCACGUAACUGAAUUCUGCCACUUCAUGGAUACUGUGAAAGAACGCUCCACUUAAAGAGAGUCACUACACAGAUACCCUAACCUGUAAAACACAAUAACUGGGAACCAAUCAGCAAAAAGGUUUUUGUAUUUUUUAUUGACGUAUCACAGUUGUACAUAUUUAUGGGGUGUAUGUGAUAUUUUGAUACCUGUAUACAAUGUGUAAUGAUCAAAUCAGAGUAAUUGGAAUACCCCUCACCUCAAACAUUUCUUUGUGUUGGGAACAUUAUAUUUUUUUCUUCUAGUUUUUCUUUUGAAAUAUACAAUAAGUUAUAUUGUUUUAUUUUGUUUUUGUUUUUUGUUUUCAUUUUUGUUUUUUGAAACAAGGUAUCACUCUGUCACCCACGCUAGAGUGCAGUGGUACAAUCAGGGUUCACUGCAUCCUCAACCUCCUGGGCUCAAGCGAUCCUCCCACUCCAGUCUCUCAAGUAGCUAGGACUAUAGGCAUGUGCCACCACACCCAGCUAGUUUUUCUGGAGACAAGUUUUCCCCAUGUUGCCCAGGCUGGUCUUGAAUUCCUUGCUUCAAGUAAUUCACCCACCUCAGCGUCCCCAAGUGCUGGGAUUACAGGCAUGAGCCACCAUGCUUGGCUUACAAUAAACUACUGUUAAGUAUAACUUCUCUGCUGUACUAUUGAAUACGAGAACUUAUUUCUUCUAUCCGACUGUAUUUUUGUACCCCUUAACCUACUUCUCUUCAUCCCUACAGCCCCCUUCUCUUCCCAGCCUCUGAUAACCACCAUUCCAUUUCCAAAAAGUCUUUAAGGGGAUGAAAAUAAAAGGUGGGAAAAGAUGAGCCCAAACUGGAAAACUGGGAUAACAAUCUCAACCUUUAACAAAAUAGAAUUCAAGUUAAAAAGAAUCAUAGGUUACUGGCAAAAAGAAUCAUACAGCCAAAAGAUAUAAUCACCUAAAUUCAAAACCAUAUAUCCUCAAAAUACAUGAAGCAAGGGUAAAUCAACAGUUGUGGGUGAAGACUUAGCACACCUUUCUCAAACACUAAUGGCUUGAGCAGAUAAAAAUUAUAAACAAAGAUAUAGAGUAUGCUUGAACUAUGAGUUAUAUACAGGACUCAAUGUCUAACAAAGAGAAG
rnacentral:lncRNA from 10 species